AUUGAACGCUGGCGGCAUGCCUUACACAUGCAAGUCGAACGGCAGCAUAGGAGCUUGCUCCUGAUGGCGAGUGGUGAACGGGUGAGUAAUAUAUCGGAACGUGCCCUAGAGUGGGGGAUAACUAGUCGAAAGAUUAGCUAAUACCGCAUACGAUCUACGGAUGAAAGUGGGGGAUCGCAAGACCUCAUGCUCCUGGAGCGGCCGAUAUCUGAUUAGCUAGUUGGUGGGGUAAAAGCCUACCAAGGCGCCGAGCAGUACGUGGUCUGAGAGGACCAACAGCCACACUGGGACUGAGACACGGCCCAGACUCCUACGGGGGGCAGCAGUGGGGAAUUUUGGACAAUGGGGGCAACCCUGAUCCAGCAAUGCCGCGUGAGUGAAGAAGGCCUUCGGGUUGUAAAGCUCUUUUGUCAGGGAGGAAACGGUUCUGGAUAAUACCCAGAGCUAAUGACGGUACCUGAAGAAUAAGCACCGGCUAACUACGUGCCAGCCGCCGCCGUAA
rnacentral:rRNA from 1 species